rnacentral:rRNA from 1 species
AUGAACGCUAGCUACAGGCUUAACACAUGCAAGUCGAGGGGCAGCAUGAACUUAGCUUGCUAAGUUUGAUGGCGACCGGCGCACGGGUGAGUAACACGUAUCCAACCUGCCGAUGACUCGGGGAUAGCCUUUCGAAAGAAAGAUUAAUACCCGAUGGCAUAGUUCUUCCGCAUGGUAGAACUAUUAAAGAAUUUCGGUCAUCGAUGGGGAUGCGUUCCAUUAGGUUGUUGGCGGGGUAACGGCCCACCAAGCCUUCGAUGGAUAGGGGUUCUGAGAGGAAGGUCCCCCACAUUGGAACUGAGACACGGUCCAAACUCCUACGGGAGGCAGCAGUGAGGAAUAUUGGUCAAUGGACGAGAGUCUGAACCAGCCAAGUAGCGUGAAGGAUGACUGCCCUAUGGGUUGUAAACUUCUUUUAUACGGGAAUAAAGUGAGGCACGUGUGCCUUUUUGUAUGUACCGUAUGAAUAAGGAUCGGCUAACUCCGUGCCAGCAGCCGCGGUAAUACGGAGGAUCCGAGCGUUAUCCGGAUUUAUUGGGUUUAAAGGGAGCGUAGGCGGACGCUUAAGUCAGUUGUGAAAGUUUGCGGCUCAACCGUAAAAUUGCAGUUGAUACUGGGUGUCUUGAGUACAGUAGAGGCAGGCGGAAUUCGUGGUGUAGCGGUGAAAUGCUUAGAUAUCACGAAGAACUCCGAUUGCGAAGGCAGCUUGCUGGACUGUAACUGACGCUGAUGCUCGAAAGUGUGGGUAUCAAACAGGAUUAGAUACCCUGGUAGUCCACACAGUAAACGAUGAAUACUCGCUGUUUGCGAUAUACAGUAAGCGGCCAAGCGAAAGCGUUAAGUAUUCCACCUGGGGAGUACGCCGGCAACGGUGAAACUCAAAGGAAUUGACGGGGGCCCGCACAAGCGGUGGAGCAUGUGGUUUAAUUCGAAGCAACGCGAAGAACCUUACCAGGUCUUGACAUCCUUUGACCACUCUGGAGACAGAGCUUUCCCUUCGGGGACAAAGUGACAGGUGGUGCAUGGUUGUCGUCAGCUCGUGCCGUGAGGUGUCGGCUUAAGUGCCAUAACGAGCGCAACCCUUAUCGAUAGUUACCAUCAGGUUAUGCUGGGGACUCUGUCGAGACUGCCGUCGUAAGAUGUGAGGAAGGUGGGGAUGACGUCAAAUCAGCACGGCCCUUACGUCCGGGGCUACACACGUGUUACAAUGGGGGGUACAGAAGGCAGCUACACGGCGACGUGAUGCUAAUCCCGAAAGCCUCUCUCAGUUCGGAUUGGAGUCUGCAACCCGACUCCAUGAAGCUGGAUUCGCUAGUAAUCGCGCAUCAGCCACGGCGCGGUGAAUACGUUCCCGGGCCUUGUACACACCGCCCGUCAAGCCAUGAAAGCCGGGGGUACCUGAAGUGCGUAACCGCGAGGAGCGCCCUAGGGUAAAACUGGUGAUUGGGGCU